CCUACGGGAGGCAGCAGUAGGGAAUAUUGCUCAAUGGGGGAGACUCUGAAGCAGCAACGCCGCGUGGAGGAUGACGGUUUUAGGAUUGUAAACCCCUUUUGUGAGAGAAGUUAAUGACGGUAUCUCACGAAUAAGCACUGGCUAACUCCGUGCCAGCAGCGCCGGUCAUACGGCGGGUGCAAGCGUUAAUCGGAAUUACUGGGCGUAAACGGUGCGCAGGCGGGCUUGUAAGUCAGAUGUGAAAUCCUGUAGCUUAACUACAGAACUGGAAUUGAAACUAUGAGUCUAGAGUGUGUGAUAGGUAAGGGGAAAUCCUGGGUGUGGCGGUAAAGCCGUAGAUAUCAAGAGGAAUACUCAAUGCGAAGGGGACCUAACGGAACAUUAACGAAGCUCAU
rnacentral:rRNA from 1 species